rnacentral:rRNA from 1 species
UGAAAGCCCCCGGCUUCAACCGGGGAAGGGUCAUUUGGAAACUUGGGGAACUUUGAGUGCAGAAGAGGAAAGUGGAAUUUCCACGUGUAGCGGUGAAAUUGCGUAGAGAUGUGGAGGAACACCAGUGGCGAAGGCGACUCUUUGGUCUGUAACUGACGCUGAGGAGCGAAAGCGUGGGGAGCGAACAGGAUUAGAUACCCUGGUAGUCCACGCCGUAAACGAUGAGUGCUAAGUGUUAGAGGGUUUCCGCCCUUUAGUGCUGCAGCUAACGCAUUAAGCACUCCGCCUGGGGAGUACGGUCGCAAGACUGAAACUCAAAGGAAUUGACGGGGGCCCGCACAAGCGGUGGAGCAUGUGGUUUAAUUCGAAGCAACGCGAAGAACCUUACCAGGUCUUGACAUCCUCUGACAAUUCUAGAGAUAGAACGUCCCCUUCCGGGGCACAGAGAGACGUGUUGCAUGUGUGUCUCCUCCUCUCGUCUCGAGAUAU